rnacentral:rRNA from 1 species
UACGUAGGGCGCAAGCGUUGUCCGGAAUUAUUGGGCGUAAAGAGCUCGUAGGUGGCUUGUCACGUCGGGUGUGAAAGCUUGGGGCUUAACUCCAGGUCUGCAUUCGAUACGGGCUGGCUAGAGGUAGGUAGGGGAGAACGGAAUUCCUGGUGUAGCGGUGAAAUGCGCAGAUAUCUGGAGGAAUACCGGUGGCGAAGGCGGCAUCCUGGACCGACAUUGACGCUGAUGAGCGAAAGCUAGGGGAGCAAACAGG